CACAGGGGAGCUUGCUCCCCGGGUGACGAGCGGCGGACGGGUGAGUAAUGUCUGGGAAACUGCCUGAUGGAGGGGGAUAACUACUGGAAACGGUAGCUAAUACCGCAUAACGUCGCAAGACCAGAGAGGGGGACCUUCGGGCCUCUUGCCAUCAGAUGUGCCCAGAUGGGAUUAGCUAGUAGGUGGGGUAAUGGCUCACCUAGGCGACGAUCCCUAGCUGGUCUGAGAGGAUGACCAGCCACACUGGAACUGAGACACGGUCCAGACUCCUACGGGAGGCAGCAGUGGGGAAUAUUGCACAAUGGGCGCAAGCCUGAUGCAGCCAUGCCGCGUGUGUGAAGAAGGCCUUCGGAUUGUAAAGCACUUUCAGCGAGGAGGAAGGUGGUGAACUUAAUACGCUCAUCAAUUGACGUUACUCGCAGAAGAAGCACCGGCUAACUCCGUGCCAGCAGCCGCGGUAAUACGGAGGGUGCAAGCGUUAAUCGGAAUUACUGGGCGUAAAGCGCACGCAGGCGGUUUGUUAAGUCAGAUGUGAAAUCCCCGGGCUCAACCUGGGAACUGCAUUUGAAACUGGCAAGCUAGAGUCUCGUAGAGGGGGGUAGAAUUCCAGGUGUAGCGGUGAAAUGCGUAGAGAUCUGGAGGAAUACCGGUGGCGAAGGCGGCCCCCUGGACGAAGACUGACGCUCAGGU
rnacentral:rRNA from 1 species